rnacentral:rRNA from 1 species
CGCGGCAAGACGGAAAGACCCCGUGAACCUUUACUAUAGCUUGACACUGAACAUUGAGCCUUGAUGUGUAGGAUAGGUGGGAGGCUUUGAAGUGUGGACGCCAGUCUGCAUGGAGCCAACCUUGAAAUACCACCCUUUAAUGUUUGAUGUUCUAACGUGGACCCGUAAUCCGGGUUGCGGACAGUGUCUGGUGGGUAGUUUGACUGGGGCGGUCUCCUCCUAAAGAGUAACGGAGGAGCACGAAGGUUGGCUAAUCCUGGUCGGACAUCAGGAGGUUAGUGCAAUGGCAUAAGCCAGCUUGACUGCGAGCGUGACGGCGCGAGCAGGUGCGAAAGCAGGUCAUAGUGAUCCGGUGGUUCUGAAUGGAAGGGCCAUCGCUCAACGGAUAAAAGGUACUCCGGGGAUAACAGGCUGAUACCGCCCAAGAGUUCAUAUCGACGGCGGUGUUUGGCACCUCGAUGUCGGCUCAUCACAUCCUGGGGCUGAAGUAGGUCCCAAGGGUAUGGCUGUUCGCCAUUUAAAGUGGUACGCGAGCUGGGUUUAGAACGUCGUGAGACAGUUCGGUCCCUAUCUGCCGUGGGCGCUGGAGAACUGAGGGGGGCUGCUCCUAGUACGAGAGGACCGGAGUGGACGCAUCACUGGUGUUCGGGUUGUCAUGCCAAUGGCACUGCCCGGUAGCUAAAUGCGGAAGAGAUAAGUGCUGAAAGCAUCUAAGCACGAAACUUGCCCCGA